rnacentral:rRNA from 1 species
CAGUAGCCGCGGGAAUACGUAGGUGGCAAGCGUUGUCCGGAAUUAUUGGGCGUAAAGGGCUCGCAGGCGGUCUCUUAAGUCUGAUGUGAAAGCCCCCGGCUCAACCGGGGAGGGUCAUUGGAAACUGGGAAACUUGAGUGCAGAAGAGGAGAGUGGAAUUCCACGUGUAGCGGUGAAAUGCGUAGAGAUGUGGAGGAACACCAGUGGCGAAGGCGACUCUCUGGUCUGUAACUGACGCUGAGGAGCGAAAGCGUGGGGAGCGAACAGGAUUAGAUACCCCCGUAGUCCCUGUCUCUUAUAA